rnacentral:lncRNA from 1 species
AGAAAUAGAUGUAGCACAGAAAUGAGAAAACGAGAUAGUGAGCAAAUAUCAUUUACGAAAGAACUUUAGAUGAGUAACAGGACACAUUUUAGUGAAGUUGUUUAUCACCAAUAGGACAGUAGGCCAAUUUCACACAGAAACUUCAGUUGAAGAGCACCAUGUUUACAUAGUCCCUACCCAUAGAUGAGCAAAAGCGAAAAAAAAAAUAUGCGACUUUUAGAAAGAAU